GUAAAGUCAUUUAUUGAGACUUUCAUUUCUAGUAAGAUGAGUUCUUGGUACCGGUGUGUAAAGAGGAAGUCUCAAAAGGCAGAAGACGUAAAACAGAACUCUUUUGGAAGCCUCAUCACUUUCACAACCCUGAAGGAACCACGCACCUUAGAACUGUGUACUCAUUACAGCCUAGGCUCAACUAGGCACCCCAAGAUGGCUUAUUGCCAAUCAUCUUCUGGACCAUUAGGCACAGAUUUUCAAAGGUGUUUAGACACCUGAACACCUUUGAGGAGUUGGCCCUGAGUUCUCAGCUGUCUUAAUUUGUCCUGGUGGGCGUCUGACUAGCCUCUUUGAGUUGCUGAGUGUUGAGAGUUGGGCUUUCUGUUUCUAACUUGGGCUGAGCAGGCCAACCACAGCAGAAAAUAAAGGGAUCUGAUGGAAGGGUCUAGGAAGCUCUAAUGAUCUGAAGACUUGCAAGGAACUUGCAAGGAACUUGAAAGGGCUCCUACUAGCCUGAGGAGCUUUGGGGGCUUGCAGAAUCUUAUGGCUAUUCUGAAACACUGGGGUGCUGUGGGCUCAAAGAUGUGUUCAAACAUCCACAAAGCCAUGUGAGUGCUUGUGUAUACUAUAUACAUUAGAAAGAGAGAGUCUCUCUAAUAAACAAAUAACAUACAUAUAUAAAUAUUUUUAUAUAUUUUAUGGGGAGAAGGACAAAGAAGUUAUAUGAAGUUAUGCAUAGCUUUCAAGAAGUAGAGACCACCACAAAGAGAAUAACUUUCUUUAGGACCUUAGGAGAUUUGAGGAACAGGUACUGAGUGAAACCGUGGCUUUUGCUGCUUCAAUGAUUUCCCACCUAUCCGUUGCAGACUUAGGGUAAGGGGCAACAGUUAAAAAAAAAAAAAAGAUAACAUAUAAAGUCUUUCUCUUCUGCCAGUUAUAUUUUUCUUUAUUAGAGCCUUUAGGAAGAGAAUGUCAGUUGUGUGUAUGCUCAGGGCCUGACUUGAUGGAAAACACGUGCAGACUGCUUUCCUGCUAUAUACCCACUCUUGUGGACAGCUAAGAAAACAACCCAAGUGUCCCACACCUCGCAUGAGAAGUGGAGAAUUCUGAAAUGGCACUGCCUUGAUGGUGGCUAAGUUAAAGACAGGAAAGCCUGGAGAACAGAAAAAGAAGUCCUCAAAUGAAGCAGAUGAAUAGGUCUCACUUUGCCAGCUCAAGAAGUUGUGUGUUUUUUUUUCACAGAGUUGCAACUUCAAAAAACAAAGCAGAACAAAGAAGCCCAACAACCCAGAAAUCCCAACAACAAACACCUAAGAUGUAGACAUGAGGAUGUCAGCUUCAAUUCUCUGUGAAUUGGUAGAUCUUGUGGUUGCUGAGAGGAGCUGGAAAACAACUUGUGGUAAAAGUUCUGGCAAACAAAAAUAGCACGGCUAACAUUUUAUUUCAACCUUGUGUUUUUUAAACAUUUUUAUUCUUCUCUUUGCCUGCACACAUCUCUUUUUGAACUCAGGGCUGACAAGACCAGGCUGACCCAGGAAAG
rnacentral:lncRNA from 7 species